rnacentral:rRNA from 1 species
AUUGAACGCUGGCGGCAAGCCUAACACAUGCAAGUCGAACGACUGGCGGACGGGUGAGUAAUGUCUGGGAAACUGCCUGAUGGAGGGGGAUAACUACUGGAAACGGUAGAUAAUACCGCAUACCAUCGGAUGUUCCCAGAUGGGUUUAGCUACGAGGUGGGGUAAAGGCUAACCUAGGCGACCAUCCCUAGCCGGUCUGAGAGGAUGACCAGCAACACUGGAACGGAGACACGGCCCAGACCCCUACGGAGGGCAGCAGUGGGGAAUUUUGCACAAUGGGCGAAAGCCGGAUGCAGCAAUGCCGCGUGGAUGAAGAAGGCCUUCGGGUUGUAAAGUACUUUCAGCGGGGAGGCGUUACCCGCAGAAGAAGCACCGGCUAACUCCGUGCCAGCAGCCGCGGUAAUUC